UGGGGGGCAGCUGCUGACAGUGGCCCCCUUUGCUGAGGGCUGGGUUUGGGGCUGGGAAAUUGGAUGAGGCGGUUUUCACCACGUGUCCUUUGAUCCUUUCUGAAGGAUGAAUGAUAUGAAGGCAUUACUAUUCAAAAAACAUGUUUUAAGGCGGCUUCAGAGUAUUUUCCUGUGUCUUCAGGAGUGACGAAAAGAGGCCACUGCCACCCUCGUUUUACAAAGGCAAACAACAGGUGGGACUUGGCCAUGGGCUCCUCUCUGCUGGGUCGGGGCUCCCCUUACAAGGCUUUUUGCCUCUGAUUUCAUCUACAUCUGAAGACCUAUCUGUCUUGGGAGCCACUCAAACUUCUCAGAGGCAAGCCCAGCUUCACGAGGAGCCUGCUGAAUGAUGACAUUCACUGGGACCACAAAAUGCAGAGCCACGUCUCAGGUGGAAGGGUUGGAAGAAAUUCAGUGUGAAAGUCUGGUCUCCCUGCACCGCCCCCCGCCCCCCCAGGACAGGUGGUGAGGAUCGGAUUAGAGACAGAGAGAGAGGAGGGGAUGUGCGUUCUCGGGACAGGGAGUAUGAUUCAGCCAAACACGUCGCAUGCUUCGACUUCUCUUGUUUGCCUGUGAAACUGAUGUGCUUCAUGCACUCUGCAGACAUCGCGGCGUCCAUCCGCCGUGCCAGGGCCUGUGCGAGCUGCUGGGGCAGAGCCAUGCGCCUUCACACACCAGCGCUGGCUGCGAGCUGUCAGGACAGGCACACACGGAACAUGUCAUUAACCACUGGCAUGUGCACUGGACUUGAAAGCCGGUGUACCUCGGGAUCGUGCUGUGAGGACGCCGGGCUAACCCCUGUGUUUGCACUACUACUCACUCCAACGAUUUUUAUGAAGUGCCAGCUAUGCCAUAGGCGGGGUUCUGGAUGCUGAGAACACAGCAAUUUUCCUGCCUUCAGUACAAUUUAGGGGAGAUGAGAACAGAGACGCCAAAGAACAGCUACCAUCAGACAGACACAGAGGAUGCCCCUCCCUGGGCUCUCACUCACCCUCAGGAAGCAGGUGGCAUUGUACUCAGUUCACAGAUGCAGACACGGAGGCCAGGAGAUAUUACUAAGUGCAUCUGAAGUCACAUGGGCAACACCUUUGAACUGGACUUCAUUUUGGGUUAAAUCCAGAUCUGACUCUGAAGCCAAAGUUCUUAACCAGGCUGCACCAGGGCCACUGUCAAAGGAAAUAGACUUUCAUUUGUAGUCUAUUUCCCCCUGUCCCUCUUUUCCCCCCAUCUUCCCAUGAGACAUGGUCAAGGGUGACAGAACGGGGUCUGAGGGCUGGGGUGGGGGUAGAACCCUGGGGUCACUUCUUGAGGCCACCCGGCCAUGCUCCUGCCCGUCCUGUCCCAGGAGGCCAGUCCUUCCCCCGCUUCAGUCCCAUUCUGAACGAGAUGGUCACGCAGAAGUAAGUCACCGAGUCAGUAAAAUGUCCUCUCUGACACCAACACUGCUUUGGUGUGUUUUUUCCCUCCUCUUGUACUAACAAACGUGUUCAUGUAAAGACAAAAAAGAAAACCAAGCGAUCUGUCACAGUCACACCUUCUCUCCUGGCCUCCAUAAUGAAUGGUAGUGCUUAGAGUUAAUCAAUCACUCCCGUAACUGUCCUUGGGAUGCCUCGCUUGCAAAGGGCCCCAAGCCCAGGCCCUGGAGUUUGCUGCUCUCACAGACUGCCCGUGCACUCGUGUAAACCCCGUGUUCCUGGUGCUCGCCAAGCACCUGCAGCAGGCGCCCAGCCGGCUGGUCCUGGUGAUCCUGUGGUCCUCCCACACCCUGGGGGAUGUGCCGUCUCAUUGGGCUGUGGGCAGGAGGGGUCUGCAGGCUGAGAGGACACUGCUUGUGGGGAGCAGGGCUGUGAUGUGAACCUAAACCUGUGUCUUGGG
rnacentral:lncRNA from 12 species